GAUGAACGCUGGCGGCGUGCCUAAUACAUGCAAGUCGAGCGGAAAGGCCUCUUCGGAGGUACUCGAGCGGCGGACGGCUGAGUAACACGUAGGAACGCACCCCAAACUGAGGGAUAACUGCUCGAAAGAGUAGCUAAUACCGCAUGUGGUCUUCGGAUUAAAGCUUCGGCGGUUUGGGAACGGCCUGCGUCUGAUUAGCUUGAUGGUGAGGUAAUGGCUCACCAUGGCGACGAUCAGUAGCUGGUCUGAGAGGAUGAUCAGCCAGACUGGGACUGAGACACGGCCCAGACUCCUACGGGAGGCAGCAGUAGGGAAUUUUCCACAAUGGGCGAAAGCCUGAUGGAGCAACGCCGCGUGCAGGAUGAAUGCCUUAGGGUUGUAAACUGCUUUUAUAUGUGACGAAUAUGACGGUAGCAUAUGAAUAAGGAUCGGCUAACUCCGUGCCAGCAGCCGCGGUAA
rnacentral:rRNA from 1 species